CCUACGGGUGGCUGCAGUCGGGAAUUUUGGGCAAUGGGCGAAAGCCUGACCCAGCAACGCCGCGUGAGUGAUGAAGGCCUUCGGGUCGUAAAGCUCUGUCGAGAGGGAAGAAUGUUCUCGGGGUAAAUAAUCCCGGGAGCGUGACGGUACCUCCAAAGGAAGCGCCGGCAAACUCUGUGCCAGCAGCCGCGGAAAUACAGAGGGCGCAAGCGGUGUUGGGAAUUACGGGGCGCAAAGCGCGUGGCCGCGGGCUCAACCCCGGAACUGCACUCGAACCUGCCUCGCUCGAGUCCCGGAGAGGGUGGCGGAAUUCCCGGUGUAGAGGUGAAAUUCGUAGAUAUCGGGAGGAACACCAGUGGCGAAGGCGGCCACCUGGACGGUGACUGCCGCUGAGACGCGAAAGCGUGGGGAGCAAACAGGAUUAGAUACCCGUGUAGUC
rnacentral:rRNA from 1 species